rnacentral:tRNA from 1 species
UUAUGGGGUGAAUCCCCCUCUUUACA